GUGGGGCCGUGCUCCAGACACACAGACUUGAAGUUGGGUGGGGCCGUGCUCCAGAAUCCCCCACUUGCAUGACUAUAGGCCACCCCUUUGUUUGGCUGUGAAGCAAUAAUGAAGAAGAGGCUGUAGAGAGACACAAGCAUGGAAUCCACAACUCAGUGACUAGAGGCUGUUACUAGAAAUGAUUCGAGUACUCAGCCUUGUGGGUGGGCAGCAGGGCUCCAAAUUUCCCUUAAAAAAGACAAGUCCAAUAGGCCAACUAUAAAGUACGUGAGGCACGAUAGAAAAUUCUGGAAGUUCACCAGGUAGCAGGAAAAGAUAACCAGGCAGAGACACGGAGAAGUAAGCAGGUGUUUGGCAAACUGAGGAGCUGAGAAAACGUAUUGGAUCAUUCAAUGAAACAUAAUGAGGAGAAGCUUUUGUUAAUGAAAGAGCUUUCAUAAUUCUCCUUGUUAGCCCUCAAUAUGGUCUCGACAAUUCUGUUAAUUAAGACAAUUUUCAUCACUUGAGUCAUCGGCCACCUUUCAAAGGGGUCAACCAAGCUAAUAGGAAGAUCAACUAAUGGACAUCUUAAAAAACCCACACAGGGACUUUAGCAGAGAACAGGGCCUUGAGAUCACCUCGCUCCUUACUGUGCAGUGGUACAGGCCACACGGGUUGCAGAAGAGAUGGUCACAGCUGACAUGGCUUCCUGCUGGGCAGCAGCCCCCAUCCUGGAGAGUGGAUACCAUGGGGGCGGGAGCAUAGUCGUGACAACUGUGACACGGAAGAGGACUGUGGGCCAUGGCAGGUCCUGUGGUACCUUAGGACCACAAAAUCAAACUACUGAACUGGAAAAAUCUCUCAGUGUGGCUAUCAGUUGACCUGACAGGUGAGUUCUCAGUCUGGAUGUGAAACAUCAAGAAGAAAGGCCUAAACUGCACACCAUCUGAGCCUGACCCCUAACCUGGGAACUCAGUUUGUAGAACACCCUCAGGAGAGCUUGCUGAGCCUUCACUUUCCUUGCAUAUAUGGGAGGGAGCAUAAGAGGCUUUGUUGGAAUUAUCCUGUGGAUUAUAUAAAAAUGUGUGUGAAGAUAAACAAUAAAUGGAGGCUGAAUUAGCAAUUGUGAUGAAGGUUGAAGUGCUAUCUGUUAUUGCCACAAAAUGUAGGCAUCCCUUGGUAUUUGCAAUGAAUUACUGCCAGUACCCAGGUGGGCUCAAGUCUUUUAUGGUGAAAUGGUGUAUGUAUGUAACCUACACACAUCCUCCCACAGACUAAAUCAUCCCUAGAUUACUUAUAAUUCUUAACGUUAUGUGAACA
rnacentral:lncRNA from 1 species